rnacentral:miRNA from 14 species
UGAGGGGCUGGGAGAGUGGCUCAGAGGAGAAUGCCUGCCUAUGGGAGGAAGAGGUGGACUUCUGAGCCUCUAUCCUUGCAG